GCUAAAACCAAUGUGACCAAAAUAGAAUUUUCAUAUUCUCUUUAACACUUGGACAGGACACAAAAACACAUUACUUACACAACAGACGAAUAACCGAUCUGAAUUACUAGCCACAAAAAAAACUAUACUAGACACAAGAUGAGAAAAAAAGCAACACGCUCAAAUUGUAUUUUCACGCAUCUCAAAAGUCUCAACUGAUUUCAAUGAUUAGUCCACUUCUUCCAUCUUGCUUUCCUCACCAAUUUCCUCCAGUGCAGGCAUGUCGGCAUCUUCACCAGCUCCUUCUUCUUCCUCUUCUAUGCUAAGACCCAACUUUAACAUCCUGUGAAUUCUUGCAGCAAAGGUAUUAGGGUCAUCAAGGCUAAAACCAGAUGUUAGUAGAGCUGUCUCAAAGAGCAACAACACAAGAUCCUUCACUGAUUUGUCAUUUUGGUCUGCCUCAGCUCUCUUCCUCAAUUCCUCCAUGAUUCCAUUAUCAGGAUUAAUUUCCAUCGUCUUCUUGCUGGACAUGUAUGAACUCAUGCUGGUAUCCCUCAAAGCCUGAGCCUUCAUGAUCCUCUCCAUGUUGGCUGUCCAACCGUAUUCACCAGUCACCAAGCAACAUGGAGAAUCAACAAUCCUAUCAGAAACAACCACCUUUUCGACCUUGUCACCAAGAAUAUCUUUAAUUAUCUUGCAGAGAUUCUCAAAAGACUUCUUCUUCUCCUCCUUUUUCUUCUUCUCUUCUUCACUAUCAUCAUCAAGCUUCAAUCCCUCCUUGGUGGCAGAGACCAGUUUCUUACCAUCAUAUUCUUUCAGCUGUCCCACAGCGUAUUCAUCAAUAGCAUCAACCAUAUAGAGCACUUCAUAUCCUUUUUUCUUGAGACGCUCCAAGAACGGAGAGUUCUCAACUGCCUUCUUGCUCUCUCCAGUAAUAUAGUAGAUGUCUUUCUGGCCCUCCUUCAUCCUAGUAACAUAAUCCUUCAGGCUGGUCAGCUCAUCACCGCUCUUGGUAGAGUGGUAACGGAGGAGGUCAGCCAACUUGGCUCGGUUCUGGCUGUCUUCGUGAAUUCCCAACUUCAAGUUCUUUGAGAAUGCCUCAUAGAACUUGUUAUAGUCCUCCUUGUUCUCAG
rnacentral:misc_RNA from 1 species